GCAAACUUGGUCAUUUAGAGGAAGUAAAAGUCGUAACAAGGUCUCCGUUGGUGAACCAGCGGAGGGAUCAUUACAGUGACUUUACCGUCUAAACCACCGCGAACGUACCCUGACGUUGCCUCGGCGGGCGCUGCGGCGCCGGACCCUCAGCGGCCCGGCCCGCUGCGUCGAGCCCGCCGGCGGCCCAAAACCCUGACUCUGAAGCGUUGCAUCUCUGAGUAUGACACAAAUGAGUCAAAACUUUCAACAACGGAUCUCUUGGUUCUGGCAUCGAUGAAGAACGCAGC
rnacentral:misc_RNA from 1 species